AUUGUGGCAACCCGGCCGUUGCCAAUUAAGGAGAUGAAGAGCACCUGAGGAACCGGUGGAGAGGCAGCUUAAAUAGCCUGCUUCUCCACUCAUUCGGGGCUCUCUCAGCCAUGUGGCUCGUGCCGGGAGUGAGGACAGCCGAGUUGUAGAGACGCGAGGGAACCGGACACUACGUUGGUGUCCUCCACUGUUAGGUGUCCUCCACUGUUUGGCCUCCUCCACUGUUUGGCCGUGUAGCCUCUCCCAAACGCGGUUAAAGACUUUUUGAAGUAAAGAGGAGCAUCUCAUCUGAACCUUAUGACUAUCAUGGAUAUUUAACUGCAGUUCUGUGAGUAUCCCAACUUAACCAUCAAGAUGAACUGUAAACUGUAAGUCAUUAGUUUCUUAUUACUCUUGGGCACAUUGAUGUAUGUUGGCUUCCUGGUGAGUUAACCCGUUACCUGAAGGUUGAUCUGAGUAGUAAGGAUGUUGUAUUGUUUCAUGGGUUACUUAGGUGUUUGGUUUAUGUUGGUUUUAUUUGUUGAAAUGGUUACAGGCUCCAAAUUAUUGUUGUAAGCUGGAGUAAUGGGUUGGGUUCUGAUAUCUUCAGUCUUCUUUCAUGCUACUCUCCUGAGCUCUGCAUCUUCAUCACAUGAGUGUUGCUUUACUAAUGAGGAUGUGGUCUGAGUGAGCAGAGGUGCAUACUGGGAUACAGAGCUGUCUGAAGUCUACAGGUCUGUAGACACGCCCCUCAGGGGAAACCGAGUGUUUGAGAAACCGCCGUGACGUCAGUUACAUGGACUGGAAUGUUCUUUAAGAUGGACUCAGGGAUUCAGAAGGAGAAACACCAGGGGGAGAUGAGGGGGCUCCUCAUCUCAACGACUAAAACACAACUUCAGUCUGACACAGAGAACCAUGGAACACAUUCAACAGUCCCCUCCAGGCAUCGUGACUCCUCAGGAACAGUUCAAUUUCCAAGAAGGUCUUAUUUGGGGACAUCCCCAUAUGGAUCCUGCUCCUCAAGAGCCACCCCCCUCCACUGGGUGGUCUUCUGAACAGAUGACCUCCUUCCUGUCCUCAGGCUGACUAAAGCUGCACCGUUUGCAUCUGUGAAGGCCCCUCAAUCAGGAAACCACUGGACAACAGACAUGACUUCAGAGACGUUGAAUCAACCUGGGACACAUUUUGGAGACGCCAAGCAUAAUCCAUCACCAAUGUGGGACGCCACUGAAGAAUUUUGUUCAUAAUUUACGUCUCUGGAGACUGAUUGUUCUGUUCUGGGUGCCCUGGCAGGAGAGCUGGGGGUGGAUGAUGGAAUGUUAUUUGCUAUGAGGUUUUUACCCUGCAUGAUUGUUUUGCCAUUUAUGGCUCAGUGGUGUGUGUGUUUGGGUUUGACAUGAGAUGGAUGAUUUUUGAGCAUCACUAGGGUUCUACUGUGUGUGUGUGUCUCUCCCACUCACACCUGGCAUGGGGUUCUACGUGCCUGUCCUGGGUUCUAUGUGUGUGUGUCCGGCUUGCUUUGACAGUGAUAAUGUUCAUACGGGGUCUGUGUGAUUGGCUUGGGAUAUUGGAAUGGUCAACUAAAUCAUACCUGAUGGACGGCCACACGUUUACUUGAAGGCCUCCAGGAGACAUGAAGAGCCCAGAGCGACGCUCCGGAGCGAUAUCCAACACACUGGGCAGGAAGAGUAUCCAAAUCAAGUGUAAAAGGAUGCAAGCAGCAUGUUCAGAUCAGUGACUUCAAACUAGGACUACACCAAUCAGGAUCAAUGGAGGAUGGACACCCAAAGGAAUUCCACAAGGAGAGUCUGACAUUGGAAAGGGACCUAAAUGGAUAUUCAAGAUGACCUUCAGUUCUGUAAUGAGACGGCUCUUCCUACCUGGCUGGAUUGAUGGAGAGCCCUGUGGAUCUUGUCUUGCCCUCAGUUGCACGUCUUCUCAGGCUGAACUGUAUUUGUUUCGGACAGGACUAGCUGAACGAUUGGUUCCCUUAAAUCAGAACCAAUCUGGGAACUCCAACUAGUGCGCUCUUCGAGCUGAAGUUGUGCUCUUCAGCUGAGGAGGUAAGGAAACCUUCACUGGGGCUUCAAGGUGUAAAGAGGAGAAUGUUUCAAAGUGUUCCAUGGUGCUCUGAUGAAGACCGUUGUUGUGUUCCACUGGCUGAGAGGAAGAACCCUCACAUCUUCCUCUUGGCCUUCCUCCUCUGAGAAUCUUGGCGCCAUCUUGAAGGAUAUUCCAGCUCAUGUAACUGAUGUCACGACAGAUUCUCAAACACUUGGUUUCUCCUGAGGGGCGUGUCUAUAGAACUGAAGACUUCAGACAGCACUGUAUCCCAGCAUGCAUCUCUGCUUACUCAGACCACACCCCCAUGAGUAGGAUGCAACACUCUAGCGAUGGAGUCGUAGAGUUUUAUAAGUAACGCGGGAGCAGACAAAGGUGAUUAGAACACAAUGGCAUGUCAAGUCUGUAAAUCUUUAAACCAUGGAGAUGGUUGGAUAGUUCAGGAAUUGGGCUUCUUUUUAUUAUGGGCAGUCCUUUGACUCAGAUGCCCACUUCUCACUGGACCUGUACAUGUGUUGGCUGGCUGGCAUGAUUUGCUGUUGGUGAUGAGGCGGUCUGGGUGACGUUGCAGGGCUAUGGUCGGCUCUCUGUGAGCUCAAUGUUUAGAUUUGCUCUGUAUGGUUUGUACCCUGAAUAAUCUAGAUAAUUGUAAAAUGUAGACAUGGUUUUGUAUUGAAUGAUUCCAGGAUUUUAGGUUUAAAGUUGUUGUGGGACGUACAUGGUAGUUUGGUUCUUCGUACGGUUUUGAGUGAUAUAACUUGUACACACUGGGUGCAUAAUAAUGUAAAGGUACACUGAAUAGUAGUAUUGACCAACAGCAACAAACAGAUCUCCUCAAGGUAAGUCUGUUGGCUGUGUUUUAUUGAAGACCAUCGCUGGACUUCAGGAUCUUCCUCCGUUCAGCUCAAGGUGAGGCGCUGGUUCUGUUUUUUCUUUGGUUGGUUCCGGCCGGAAUGUUCGGAUUCCGGUCGGACGGUUUGUGCUUCCCGCCGUGGAAGAUUCUGAGUGUGGUCACUUGAUUUAGUCCCAAUGGUUAGCAUAGAAUGUUGUAGUCUUGACAACCAUAAGAACCCACCUGGCAGUUAGUUGGACGGGAGUCCCCUGAGGGAAUCUGGCGGAGAGUUCUGGAUUGUAUUUGCGUAACCUCGAGUCGUUGUCAACGGAAACAAUUUUUCAGUCGUUUCCAUUGGGAAUUGUUGCCCCUUAUCUUAAAAAACGUACGUUUGAUAUUAAAUACAUACUGACACGUACGUCGUACAAUAUGUUGAUAAUUUCCGAUGGUUGCGCCGUACUUUUAACCACGAUGACGUUACGGGACUCUCGCUGCAUACAAAACAGCGUUCUACUUGCGACUCAUUUUUGACAUCGGUGAAGGCUGAAAAUCAUUUCAAGGUGGAAGACAAUUUGACAUUUCUUCAACGGAACCCAGCACCUGAAUAUGGCUGAGUAUAUUUGAUUUAAUAUAGAUACUGCUUAGUGUCCUUUGUUACUUGAGCUUUUGUACGUUCUAAAUAUCUGCUGUCAUUAAUUGCCACAGAAGUUAAACCCUACCCAAUGGAAUGACGUUAAACAACGACUUUGGUGCAGAGUUACCAAGCUGGUUAAUAUCAAAGCUAAAAUAAUGACUGUCCUUCCCACAUGUUACAGUAGAAGAUACUCUAGAACUGUACAAGGUUGAAAAGGUAACAUGUUUGUCCCAGGGUGUCUGCCUCCUCACCCAGAGCCAGACCUCCACCUCCUCACCCAGAGCCAGACCUCCACCUCCUCACCCAGAGCCAGACCUCCACCUCCUCACCCAGAGCCAGACCUCCACCUCCUCACCCAGAGCCAGACCCCUACCUCCUGUCGGAAGUCCUCCAGAACCGCUGAAAGGCGAGGCUGAGAGGCUGAGGACCGGAGGCUUGUGGUGCCAGGGUGGACCGGAGACUGAGGCUGGAGACCAGGGGCCUACAGCACCGGACCAGAGGACCAGGAAUCCAUGUCUGACGGAGUUGAUGGAGGAGUCGUGCUGAAGGCCCUGCCUGGUGGAGGAGCUGGUGGAGGCCCUGCCUGGUGAAGGACGUCUGUCGUGGGAUGCGAGCUGGUAGGGGAGCCGUGAAUCUGGAGGAUGACCAUCACUCUACCAACAAGGAUUGAAUCUGGAGGACUGAUGGAGAAGCCGUACAUCUGGAAGGCCAAUCCUGAGGACAACCAGGACUCAACCAUCAAGGAUUCCUCUCCGGGCAGACACACCUGAGCUGAAGCCGCCCUGAUCCUGACAUCCUGCUGGUCCCGUCUCCUCAGUUGAUUUGAGCCUCGUCCUCCAGAAGACCUGCUGAGCUCAGUGGUCUGAGGCUCAUGUAUCAAUGACCUCCAGUGGGAGUGAUCUUCUUGACCCCACAUGUAACCGUGUGCUUCCACACGCCUUUCCCUCACGUCUGUCACUAACCUCACUACUUCACUACUUUCUACUGCUUCCUCUUUUUCUUCCUUCUCUGUGGUUCGAACCUUUACACUGGAGGCGCGUCUCCAUGCCCUCAGAGGGUUCAGCGUUAGGGUUGAGAGUCAGGGUUUAGAGUCAGGGACAGAGCUGGUCAGGGAGGACUGCUUUUACACAAACCUCUUCACUUGCUUUCGGAAUGGUGGUGACAUUUUGAAAAGAUUCAUUUGGGAAAAUGUUUUCCUCUGCUUUCCUUUACGGAAUUGAAUUACACUUCUGUCAAGUGUUUUUGUUUACAUAUUAAAAUCCCACAUUGACUUCUACAUGUUUGGUGCGGUUGAUUUAAUUGUCCUUUAACUUGGUUAAUGUCAAGCUAAACUCCUGCAUUACAUUUAAUAUACAUGAUUGUUAUUCAGCAAUGUUAACAUAAUCCAUUUUGUAAAAAUAUGAAACCUCCAUAUUACUACUAAAUUCAAGCCUAUUCAUGUAUUUAAUAAUGUACAUACUGCCCCGCAGGCCAUUCGCUGCUGCUACAACACGUUCAAUCCACC
ensembl:lncRNA